rnacentral:rRNA from 1 species
CGGGGUGAGUAAUGUAUGGGGAUCUGCCUGAUGGCGGGGGAUAACUACUGGAAACGGUAGCCAAUACCGCAUAAUGUCUACGGACCAAAGCGGGGGACCUCCGGGCCUCGCGCCAUCAGAUGAACCCAUAUGGGAUUAGCUUGUAGGUAAGGUAACGGCUUACCUAGGCGACGAUCCCUAGCUGGUCUGAGAGGAUGAUCAGCCACACUGGGACUGAGACACGGCCCAG